rnacentral:rRNA from 1 species
UACGUAGGGGGCAAGCGUUAUCCGGAUUUACUGGGUGUAAAGGGAGCGUAGACGGCAGGGCAAGUCUGAUGUGAAAGGUCGGGGCCCAACCCCGGGACUGCAUUGGAAACUGUCCGGCUGGAGUACAGGAGAGGUAAGUGGAAUUCCUAGUGUAGCGGUGAAAUGCGUAGAUAUUAGGAGGAACACCAGUGGCGAAGGCAGCUUACUGGACUGUAACUGACGUUGAGGCUCGAAAGCGUGGGGAGCAAACAGG